rnacentral:lncRNA from 1 species
GUCCCUCUCUUUAUCAAGCUAACAUCGAGAGAAAAACAGAGAGAGUGAGGAAGUGAGAGCAAGAGCAUAGCUAGCUUUAUCACCAAACAACCAAAGAUAAGGAAGAUACAGCAAGGAAGGCAGGAGAAGCUGGAAUUAGGACUGAGGAACCGAGACAGAAAAUUAAGCAGCCUGCAACAACGAACCUUAAGGGGGAAAAGGUAACACUCUCCAUAACAACUCACUGUUUAGAUAGUAUAAUUGGUUAAACAUGAGAUAUAAGUUGAGCUUAGCUAGAAAUUUAGCUUCUGGUUCAAGAAAGUGUUGUGCAGAAACUGUGAAAUUGCAGAAACUGAGCUUCGACUGAAGAAAGAAAUUCUGAUUUGAAACUUAAAGGUUUAUUGACUGAACAGUAUGUGAACUCAGUGAUGACCGACUGAAAUUGCAGGUUGUUGGCGAAGGAAAAUGGAAGAAUGUUGUAGUAAAUGUAUGAAAAUGCUUGUUUCUGGUAUAAGGUGAAAUUUAACUACAGGAACUUGUGAAAAUGGGAACUAUGAGCAUGAAAGAAAUCUGAUGCAGGCUGCUAUGCAUUAGAUUUUGCAGCCUGGUGCAGACAUGGGAUUUGAUUUAGUUUUCUCAUGGAAUCUGGUCAUAAACUCCUAUGUUUAGCUUAGGAUAACCUGUAGCUGGCCAAAUAACCUCUGCUUGAGUGAUUGAGACCUAAAACUGAAGAGGAAAAGAUGAGGAAAUAUCCAGUGAUAAACUCCUGCUUUGCUAGAAAUUAUUGACUGCAACCGAGGGGGAAAAGCUGGAAACUCUGGCUAUCCUCUGCAAACU